rnacentral:rRNA from 1 species
UACGAAGGGGGCUAGCGUUGCUCGGAAUGACUGGGCGUAAAGGGCGCGUAGGCGGUUCGUACAGUCAGACGUGAAAUUCCCGGGCUCAACCUGGGGGCUGCGUUUGAUACGUGCGGGCUUGAGUUCGGAAGAGGGUCGUGGAAUUCCCAGUGUAGAGGUGAAAUGCGUAGAGAUCGGGAGGAACACCAGAGGCGAAGGCGGCGACCUGGAUAGGUACUGACACUCAACUACGAAAGCGUGGGGAGCAAACAGG